rnacentral:rRNA from 1 species
GUCUCUUAGAAAUCAUUAAGAGUCAGGCCUGCCCAGUGAUUGCUUUUUAACGGCCGCGGUACCCUGACCGUGCAAAGGUAGCAUAAUCAUUUGCCUUUUAAUUGAAGGCUGGUAUGAACGGUUUGACGAGAGUAAAGCUGUCUCACAUGUACUUGAUAAAAAUUAAUUUAAAGGUGCAAAAGCCUUUAUUCAUCAAAAAGACGAGAAGACCCUGUUGAGCUUUAAUUUUAGUUAAGUAUUAAUUAUAUAUUAAUACAAUUUCUUUACUUAACAAAAAUUUUAAUUGGGGCGAUUAAGGAACACACAAAAGCUUCCUGACUACUAAAUUCUAAUAUUCAAUAGAUUAAAUCGAUCCAGCAAUGCUGAUCAACAAAAUGAGUUACCACAGGGAUAACAGCAUAAUUCUUUUUGAGAGCUCAUAUCGAAAAAAGAGAUUGUGACCUCGAUGUUGGACUAGGGUAACCGGAAGGUGUAGCCGCUUUCCCGCUUGGUCUGUUCGACCA